GUGUUAUAUUAGUUUCAGGUGUAUGGCAUAUUGAUUCAACAAUUCUGUGUAUGACUCAGUGAUCACUGUGGAAUUCUGCUCACUUGAACGUUUUCAUCUCUUCAAAGACAACGGCAAGCAGGAGGCAGAAAUUCUGUUUUAAUCCUCUGCUUGCCCUCCCGAAUGUCAAGUAUUUGUGUUCAGCAUUUUCGAAAUCAAUAGGGACCAAAAACAUAUCACAGUGAAUAUCAGAUCAUUCGGAGCAGAAUAUUAAACAUGUCUUAAUGUUUUUCUACGGCAACUUUUAAGCACAGGACGGGCCACAGAGAGAGCUGAAAGUUUAUGAAAACAGACAGUGCUUGCUGUAUUCUAUUUCCCUUUGUCUGGAAGCCAGUUCUUUUGAAGGAGUUCAAAGGAAAACAGGAUCGUGAUUCAUCUUCUAAACAAACAACAUCAUCCCUGUGUGUCAAUAAGUGAACCUUUCCCCCAGCUCCUGAUGUCCAAACCCCUGCUCCCCCAAUUUGCCACUCACAUUCCCGAAUCUGCUCCCUGGUUACAAAUCCGCUAUUGUUGGCAUUUCAUUCUACAGCCACAGGCAGUUUCCUGGGAAGCACCGCAAGGAAUCAAUUGUCGCUACACUCUAACAAUAGCUCGAAAAUAUUGUUAUUUGGAUUGUCCACAGUCGGUUGUCUUAAAUGAAGGCCAGAGGAGAGGGGGCACCUUGCAGCCAGGGACGGGAAAAGCAGGAAAGAGAAGAGGCCAAGAAAGGGUAGCAAACAGGCAUGACUGUGAGCAGACUUUCCGUGCAGACGGUCGGAGGGAGACUUUUCUCCACAAGCUCAGAAUCUUUCCUUGUGCCUCAAAACUGGAGAGAUUAGGAACUGCUGAUGCUACUGCUACCAAGAGCCCACCUUGGAAUGCAGGCCUGCUUUGAGGAAAUUCCACAGAGGUCAAGAACCUCCUGGAAGCACGCAGAUUCUUAUUCCUCUUCUGAGUCUCAGGGGGGUAUUAACCGAGGAUGCCAUGGGACCAGGCUCUUGCAAGAGGCACCCCCACCCUCCAAAAUCAGAGCAUCUCUCUCUUGUGAGGCUGUCUGUUCCCCCAAGUCCAUGGUCUAAGCCCAGUCCUGAGGAGAGUGUGAGAAAGGGACUGCACUGGCCAAUAAAGCUUAACCACUUAGUCAC